GCGGUCGUGGUGUAGAGGUAUCACGCUUCUUUCGGGAACAAAAGGCUGACCAAUGCCAUCCCGUGCUGACAAGGCGCAUAAACUAGAAGAGGUCUUGGGUUCAAUCCCCAACGAUCGCC